rnacentral:ncRNA from 1 species
AAAUGUGCGAUGAAAAGGACAUAAGUUUCUCUUAACGAUUUAAAGAGAGGGAAGGCAAGGCUGGGAACUUCCUAAUUAGCAGAAAAGCUUACCACCUUGGAGUAGUAUUGGUGAAUACCAGUAAUCAAUACCGUAGCUGCUACGUUACAGCAAAAUGAAGCCAUCACUUUUAUUAUUUAUUAGUGAUGGGAAGUUGGGUGGAACCACGAGUACAACACACAUCGUCCCUUAU